rnacentral:rRNA from 1 species
UACAGAGGUCUCGAGCGUUAGGCGGAAUCACUGGGCUUAAAGCGCGUGUAGGCGGAUCGUUAAGUGCCUUGUGAAAUCCCACGGCUUAACCGUGGAACUGCUUGGCAUACUGGCGAUCUUGAGCCAUCUAGGGGCCUGCGGAACAAACGGUGGAGCGGUGAAAUGCGUUGAUAUCGUUAGGAACUCCGGUGGCGAAGGCGGCACGCUGGACCCUCACUGACGCUGAGGCGCGAAAGCCAGGGGAGCGAACGGG